UACGUAUGGGGCAAGCGUUAUCCGGAUUUACUGGGUGUAAAGGGAGCGCAGGCGGCCUGCCAAGUCUGGUGUGAAAACCCGGGGCCCAACCCCGGGCCUGCAUUGGAAACUGGCGGGCUGGAGUGUCGGAGGGGCAGGCGGAAUUCCUAGUGUAGCGGUGAAAUGCGUAGAUAUUAGGAGGAACACCGGUGGCGAAGGCGGCCUGCUGGACGAUGACUGACGCUGAGGCUCGAAAGCGUGGGGAGCAAACAGG
rnacentral:rRNA from 1 species